rnacentral:rRNA from 1 species
AGGGUUCGAUUCUGGCUCAGGACGAACGCUGGCGGCGUGCUUCAUACAUGCAAGUCGAACGAUAAGGCGCCUUCGGGCGUACAUAAGUGGCGGACGGGUGAGUAAUAUGUAGAGAAUCUGCCCUAGAGCGGGGGACAACCGUUGGAAACGACAGCUAAUACCCCCAUAUGAGCGUAGUUGAAAUACUAUUCUUGAAAACUCCGGUGCUCUGGGAUGAGUCUGCAUCUGAUUAGCUAGUUGGGGGUGUAAUGGACCACCAAGGCGAUGAUCAGUAGCUGGUUUGAGAGGAUGAUCAGCCACAAUGGGACUGAGACACCGGCCCAUACUCCUACGGGAGGCAGCAGGUAGGGUAAUUUUGCGCAAGUACGGGGAAACCCUGAACCGCAGCAACGCCGCGUGACCGAUGAACGUCCCGUUCGGGGUAGUAAAGGUCUGUCAGUGGGGACGAAUUUUGACGGUACCCACAGAGGAAGCACCGGCUAACUCCGUGCCAGCAGCGGC